rnacentral:lncRNA from 1 species
GUUACAAAGUUUGCACUUAACUCUAUCAGUACCUUCUAUUAUUUCAAAAAAUUUCCAAACAAGACUUCUUUUUUUACGAGUAGAAGUUGGAGCCACUGGUGGUCUUCUAAACUUGUUGCACUACCAACUCCAACUCCAAUACUACCAAUAUUUCCACUACUAGGUGUAUGUGGUAUCUCAUAUGCUAUUCCAAUUUCAUUAUCUUCUAUUCCGUAAUCUUCUUGUAAUUGUUCAUAAUCAAUUUCUACAUCUUGCAAAUUAGGCGAUGAUUCAN